rnacentral:misc_RNA from 1 species
AGUGUCAGAUGAAGUGCUGCAGAAAAAUCUGAAUACAAUGGAGAAGUCCCUUAAACAGUUAGAAAUUGACAUUAAAAAUCUGAACAAGUCCCAGAAUGAAGGAGAUAAGUUCUCUCAAGUGAUGAACGAGUUCAUUGCCUCGGCCAAAAGCCAGUACGAGGUCAUGAAGGGCAUGUAUAAGAUGGUGGACAACUUGUACAAGGAAAUGGGCAAAUACUACACAUUCGACAUCAAGAAGUACGCAAUGGAGGAAUUUUUUAGUGAUAUAAAAUCAUUUAAGGAGUUCUUUGUGCAAGCAUUAAAGGAUAAUGCAAAGAUUCGUGAAACCAAUGAGAAAAUUCGAAGAGCUAAAGAGGCCAAGGAAAGACAACAGAAAGAAAGGGCAGCUAAGCUUGCCAGAAAGAAAGCUUUGGUAGACAUGACAAUAGACGACAACCAGGAGGGUGUGAUGGAUAACCUAUUAGAAGCUCUGAAGACGGGAUCCUGUUUCAACCGAGAAAAACGAGACGCUAAGCGUAAAACUCCGAGGGCAGCAGGAGCAAGAAAACAAAAUAAUUUACAAAUCCAGAGGUGAAUCCUUAGCUGAGAGAAGGGCACAGUUAUCUAGGUCAAGGUCACGACAGAAUCUACUCACCAUGGACAAUUCAACUCUGAUGGAGAUCAACUUCAAUGACUCUUCUGUGGACACGCCUCCCCGGCCCCCCAGGGGCAAGGACGAGCGGCGGGAUGUGCGCCGUGAACUUGACAUGAGGACAAACUUAGUGAAAAAAGACCUCAACGACAAUGAGGAGAGGAAGCGACAUAGUCACCAGGUGGAUGAUCGGCGGAGGGUGAAUCGUCAGGGUAGCGAGGAGAAGAGGCGUAACAGUUGUACAGACAAUGGAAUGUCAGAGGCGGAAAAACUGCUGGCGAGGCUUAAAGAUCUGUAAAAUGUUUUUAUUUUCGUACAUGUACCUCAGUAGUGUGUCCUACAUUGCAGUUGCUAGCAUUUUAUUUCUAUCCGCUAAAAAUAAUAUUGGUAUUAUUAUAUGGAAAUUUUGUAAAGAUUUGUAGUACUGGUUGAAAUGCAUACAAUGAAUAUGUACAUUUUUAGCAAGUUAUAAAAUUAGUUGUUGGAGAUUUGGUAACAUAUAAGGUAACUUGAAUCAAAAUGACAUUUUUUGGAUAAAAAAGAGAAUUGGUCCAUAGCAUUGAAACUUAAGGCCAGUUAAGACAUAGCCCAGGUAUUGUUUAGUAGUUUUAAUGUUCAUAUCUCCUUAGAAUGAAUACCAUUGUGCCUAGUCUUGUUUUGAACAGAUUUGAAGCCUUGUAUAAAACAAUUAAAAAUUGUCCCAAGUAUAUCACGGCAUUAUACUGUCUUAAAGUUUGUGUAAAACAACCUGUAAAAAAUUUUCGUGGAUACAUAGUGCUUUAUUAAGAAUGAUAUUUUGGCAACAGUUUUGUGUACAUAAAUCUGUGAAUAUGUAUAUUGGCCUUGAAUAGUCUUAUUAUCUGUGAUAUUUAUAUAAACAUUGGUCCUCUGUGUUUUUUCCGGAGAAGAAUCAAAGACUCAGGAAAAAAAAAGGGGGACCACUCAACAGAGCUAACUUUAUAGUCAGGACACCUUAUCAGUUGUCAUUAAACAAAGCAUACAUCAUGUCACUCAUAGAAAUCAGGUCAUCUCCAGCCUCCAUUUGAUAACGUUCAUUUAUUCUUCAUAAUUGCAUGUACAUGUAUAUUGUAUUGUUCCAUAAUUCGGAUAUGGAAAUGCUGAUAAAACAGUGUACCUUUGAUUUGUGCAAUGCUGCAAUUUUAACUGUUAGCUGUUAAUUAUAGCCAUAAAAAGAGACAUUAUUAACAGCAAUAUUUACAGCACUGAUAAGUAUUAUUUCAAACCACCAUGACAGAAAAACAAGAAUAUAAUUUUAUUGUUUACUUGAUUGAAAAAAAAGUAAAUACCCGGUAGCCAUAGUAUUUCAGAUCUACAGUUUAUAUGUAUUUGUGUUGAAGAACAAAUGUUUUAUCUUUUUCACUUUCAAAGAAAACAUGAAAGAUGAAUUAAUGAAGAAUUUUUUAGUGCAAUACUUCUGUAGUUCACCGACAUGUUAUAUUUUUUUUUCUUAGUUAAUAAUUUGCCGUGAUGUGUUCAUUGUUACAAUGGUUUAGGAUUGUUGAGUUUGUCAGACACUUUGAAUAGAAGCAUUCCACUACUGCACAAUAUCAUGCCUGCAUGUGUGCAGAAACUAGUUUACAAGUACUAAAUGUAAGGACUAAGCUGUAAGAGUUGAAAAUGAUCUUCCUGUUUUUACAUGAUGUUCAUAGAUGCCAAAGGUUCUCAUGUUACAUGACUGUAAUUUGUGAAGUUUAAUUUUUUUCCGCAUCAAUAAAUUUAUGCAUAGUUCAUGCAAUUAAAGAGCAUGAAAUAUUCAUGUAGUAGUAGAAAUUGACUUCCCCUCUCUGUCUCUCUCUCUCUCUCUCUCUCUCUCUCUCUCUCUCUCUCUAAAAUCUCUUUUACAUUAUGUAUAUGUAAUAUGUGUAUGGUACGUAAUUCAUUAUCAUCAAUCUAGCAAUACUGAAAUUCUUAUUUUAAAUACAUGUGUUCUUUAGCUGUUUACUUAAACUAUGUUCCAAUUUAUUGCUCAUCACAUUUUUUUUCUCAUAGAAAUCAUUCAAUUACAAUUUUUUUCGUAGAAAUAAUUCAGAAGUCCUUGUCCUUUAUUUAUUAGACUAAGUGCAUCAUUUGUAUUUAUGUUACGUUUCUAAGCAGAAGAAAAUAUAAAAUAAAUAUAAAAAUGAUAAUAAUCUUUCAAGUGGAAAUUGUGUCGGGACUCUUUAUUUGAGCAAUUUUUUUUUUAUUUAAAAAUGAAUGUUCUGGUACUUAUAUACAUAAAAUUAUACUGAUGCAAUGGGUAAAUAAUUUCAGAUAGAUGCAAACCAAAAAAAAAAAAAAAUUCAAUAACAUAACCCCCUUUUUCCCAUUCUUUACAGUGACUGUCUUUUAUUUUUUUGGUUAAGGUCAUAUUUUAUUUUGAUUAAGGAUGUAGAGUCAACAGAUAAAAAUGUGUACAUGUAGCUUUUAAUAUAUUGUAUAGUCCUGUGUAGGUUGUGCUUCAUCUGUCAUCAAAAAUACCUGCAGCUCUGUCAAAUGAAUUAUGUUAAUGCUUGAAUUAUUUGUACCGCUUGUAAAUUAUUGUACAAUGUACAAGGUAAUAUUACAGAAAUGAAAUACAAAAAAGAAUAUAAUU